UGGGGAAUUUUGGACAAUGGGGGCAACCCUGAUCCAGCAAUGCCGCGUGUGUGAAGAAGGCCUUCGGGUUGUAAAGCACUUUUGUCCGGAAAGAAAACGCCGUGGUUAAUACCCGUGGGCGGAUGACGGUACCGGAAGAAUAAGCACCGGCUAACUACGUGCCAGCAGCCGCGGUAAUACGUAGGGUGCAAGCGUUAAUCGGAAUUACUGGGCGUAAAGCGUGCGCAGGCGGUCCGCUAAGACAGAUGUGAAAUCCCCGGGCUUAACCUGGGAACUGCAUUUGUGACUGGGCGGGCUAGAGUAUGGCAGAGGGGGGUAGGAAUUCCACGUGUAGCAGUGAAAUGCGGUAGAGAUGUGGAGGAAUACCGAUGGCGAAGGCAGCCCCCUGGGCCAAUACUGACGCUCAUGCACGAAAGCGUGGGGGAGCAAACAGGAUUAGAUACCCUGGUAGUCCACGCCCUAAACGAUGUCAA
rnacentral:rRNA from 1 species